rnacentral:lncRNA from 1 species
AAGCCUGCAACAUGCACAAAACCCAUCUGUCAGCAGAAGGAGGGAAUCUAGUUUCAUCUCAAAACUCUGGUGUUAUUCCCCUGCCCUUUUUUGGAGACAGGAUUUUGCUAGGUUGCUUAUGCUGGCCAUGAAUUCUUGGACUUAAGCAAUCCUCCUGCCUCAGCCUACUGAGUAGCUGGAACUACAGGUGUGCACCACCAUUCUCAACUUCUUCUCUUCCUUUCUCUUUUCUUUCCGAUUCCUCUUCCAUGAAAAUAGAUUGCCCAGAAAUUAAUCUACAUUUAACAAUAAAAUAUUUAGGGUGAUGAGAUUAUUUGUACAUUUAGAAAUACUUUUUUAAUAUAUUCUAUGUUGGCUUCUUAGACUAUAUGUCAGCCUUAUAAUCAGAAAAGACGAUAUUUUAAAAUAAUAUUUCAGCUCUCUGAUCACAUGGUCAGCUGUCAAGUUGUGCCAUGUUUUCUUGAUAGCUGGAACAAUUGGUCUUAGUUAAAGAGUCAAAUCAUUACCAGCAGAAAGACAUUUCUUGGAAGUUUAAUUUGGACCUCCCUCAUUCCUUAGAAAGUGGAAUUUUUGGUUUUGUAAACUUUGGUACCUUCCCUAGUAGGGUUUUCUGCACUGAUUUUGCCUUUUUUCUGUUUUUAAAUAAAAACAGUUUGAGGGAGGUUAAAGUCAAUGGAAAAACUGAAAAUCUUGGGAAUGUUGUACAUGUUGAACGUUUCAAGAAUAGAAUCACAGCUGUUUCUGUGAAAUUGUUCUUUAAGAGGUAUUUGAAAUAUCUUACCAAGAAAUACCUUAAGAAGAAGAAUCUUCAUGAUUGGCUUCAUGUAUUGAAUCUGACAAGGAAACUUAUGAACUUCAUCCACUUCCAGAUUAGUCAAGAUGAAGAUGGAUCAGAGUCUGAGGACCAGCAGGGUCUCCCAUUUUAAGGCUUUGAUUUUUAAU